rnacentral:rRNA from 1 species
AGAGUUUGAUCCUGGCUCAGGAUAAACGUUGGCGGCGUGCGUUAUGCAUGCAAGUCGAACGGGUUGUCUUUGAUAACUAGUGGCGAACGGGUGAGUAACACGUAAGUAACCUACCCUUAAGUAGGGAAUAACUCUGAGAAAUCGGAGCUAAUGCCGUAUGUGAUGGCAGGGGUGAUGCCCUGCCAUGAAAGCCUUCGGGCGCUUGAGGAGGGGCUUGCGUCCUAUCAGGUAGUUGGUGUGGUAAGAGCUCACCAAGCCGAUGACGGGUAGCUGGUCUGAGAGGAUGGUCAGCCACAUUGGGACUGAGACACGGCCCAGACUCCUACGGGAGGCAGCAGCAAGGAAUUUUGUGCAAUGGGCGAAAGCCUGACACAGCGACGCCGCGUGGGGGAAGAAGGUCUUCGGGUUGUAAACCCCUUUUCUCAGGGAAGAACAAUGACGGUACCUGAGGAAUAAGUCACGGCUAACUACGUGCCAGCAGCCGCGGUAAUACGUAGGUGGCAAGCGUUAUCCGGAUUUAUUGGGCGUAAAGAGGGUGUAGGUGGUCUUUCAAGUUGGAGGUAAAAUCUCUCGGCUUAACCGGGAGGGUGCGUUCAAUACUGUAAGACUGGAGGGCAGCAGAGGGAGGUGGAAUUCCCGGUGUAGUGGUGAUAUGCGUAGAUAUCGGGAGGAACACCAGUGGCGAAGGCGGCCUCCUGGGCUGUUGCUGACACUGAGACCCGAAAGCGUGGGGAGCGAACAGGAUUAGAUACCCUGGUAGUCUGCGCUGUAAACGAUGGACACUUGGUAUAGGGGGUAUCGACCCUCUCUGUGCCGAAGCUAACGCAUUAAGUGUCCCGCCUGGGGAGUACGGCCGCAAGGCUAAAACUCAAAGGAAUUGACGGGGGCCCGCACAAGCAGCGGAGCGUGUGGUUUAAUUCGAUGCAACGCGAAGAACCUUACCAAGGCUUGACAUGACGGAAGUAGGAACCCGAAAGGGGGACGACCUGUUAAGUCAGGAGCCGUCAAAGGUGCUGCAUGGCUGUCGUCAGUUCGUGCCGUGAGGUGUUUGGUUAAGUCCUGCAACGAGCGCAACCCUCAUUGCCAGUUGAUUUCUCUGGCGAGACUGCCCCGCAAAACGGGGAGGAAGGUGGGGAUGACGUCAAGUCAGCACGGCCCUUAUGUCUUGGGCUACACACACGCUACAAUGGGUGGUACAAUGGGUAGCAAUAGAGCAAUCUGGAGCUAAUCCUAUAAAACUAUCCUCAGUUCGGAUUGCAGGCUGAAACCCGCCUGCAUGAAGUUGGAGUUGCUAGUAACCGCAGGUCAGCAUACUGCGGUGAAUACGUUCUCGGGCCUUGUACACACCGCCCGUCACGUCAUGAAAGUUGGCAACACCUGAAGUCGAUGGGCUGACCUCAACUUGUUGGGGAGGCAGUUGCCGAGGGUGGGGCUGAUAAUUGGGACGAAGUCGUAACAAGGUAACC